UGCCCCAUGGCUGAGUUGGUUACAGCGUCCGACUGUUAGAUCCCUUGUGUGUUCAUCUCAUCGGAAGGUCGUGAGUUCGAGCCUCACUGGGGCAG